CAGCAGCCGCGGUAAUACGUAGGGUGCAAGCGUUAAUCGGAAUUACUGGGCGUAAAGCGUGCGCAGGCGGUUAUAUAAGACAGAUGUGAAAUCCCCGGGCUCAACCUGGGAACUGCAUUUGAAACUGUCAGGCUGGAGUCUUGUAGAGGGGGGUAGAAUUCCAGGUGUAGCGGUGAAAUGCGUAGAGAUCUGGAGGAAUACCGGUGGCGAAGGCGGCCCCCUGGACAAAGACUGACGCUCAGGUGCGAAAGCGUGGGGAGCAAACAGGAUUAGAUACCCCAGUAGUCCCUGUCUCUUAUAC
rnacentral:rRNA from 1 species